UCUUCCGUAGUAUAGUGAUCAGUAUGUGAGCUUGUCAAACCCCCUUGUUGGGAUGUCAUCGCUCGAGACCCGGGUUCAAUUCCCGGCGGGAGAG
rnacentral:tRNA from 1 species